rnacentral:lncRNA from 1 species
GGAUCGCGAUUUAUUGUUAUUUCCUUAGGGAAGCUUCUAGAUUCGCCGAUCUAUGCUCACUUGUUAUGGAUAUUCAACAUGCACAAUAGUUCUCAACUUGUGGCUUGUUUCUCAAUCAGCAAUGGAAGUUCACUGCAUCUUCAUCUUCUCCGAUAAUUAACAAUUAACUAAUUAACAACAAAAGCAGAUUAUUAGUUGUGAUGAUUAUGAUUAUGUACUUGCCACUUGCCAGCAACAAUGGUAACGGAUCUGUUUUUUGUUUUUCUUGAUCUGUUCUAAUGUAUUGAUUUUUAUUCAGUUCAAACCUGAGGAAAUAACUGCCAUCAAUAAUGACUUUAAUGAGCCUGGAUCACUUGCUCCAACUGGAUUGUAUAUCGGUGGCACCAAAUACAUGGUCAUCCAGGGUGAGCCUGGUGCUGUCAUUCGAGGGAAGAAGGUAACCACUGUUUCUGAUCUUUGCUUGAAUUCUGAUCAUGGAUUUGCAGAUUGUGUAGUGUUGUGUGUCAUAGUACGUGUGUUUUGGUGGGCAUUUGCAUAGUUGAUUCUGAAAUGAUAUGAUAUAUAUUUGGAUGAUUUUAUUCAGUAGUAAAACUCAGUAUAAAUUUUUUGAUCUAAUGCAAACUGGUUCUGAAUCCAAAAUCAAUAACUCAACAUGGAACUAAACAUGUGAACAUUUAUCUAAAACUACGAAAGUUGGUAUUUGAAUGUCAUAUUGGAUCAUCAAUGUGAAUCCAAAUAUGUGAUAUUACUAACUGAUAUACUCAUGUGAUGAUACAGUAUCUGUGAAGAUAUGCAUUUCAAAUUAUUAUUAGUUUUAGAAUCACGCAAUAAAGCAUUGUCUGUGCUACAAUCUAUUGAAAAAAAUUACAGCCCUUUUUUUGGGGUUGAUGUCAAGGGCAACAUGAACUUGGGGUGGAGAUUGCAGGUAUACUGCAGUAAUUUAAUUAUGCACCUUUGCACAUUUUGGAAUCCAUCCAUCAUCCAUGUGUUUGUGGAUUGCGUAGCAAAUGCAAAUAUACAUAGACGACACCUUUGUGCAGAGUAAUUAUUGUAUGCAUCUUCUCAAGUCUCAACAAUUAAAUACCGGGGUUGUCUUGGGUAAAUUGUUACCUUCAAUUUUAAUCUUAAUUAAUAAUUCCUUUCAAAUUCUUUGAUUCAAUGGUAAAGCUGAACAUAUAACAGUUGUGUUUCUUGCACAGUAUCUAAGUGCAUAUUUUGACCAUUAUGGUUGUAAUAUCAGUCUUUAUCUUUAUUAUCCAGGGUCCUGGUGGUGUUACUGUGAAGAAGACCGGUGCGGCCUUGAUCAUUGGCAUUUAUGAUGAACCAAUGACUCCAGGUCAAUGCAACAUGGUAGUUGAAAGGCUUGGCGAUUAUCUCAUUGAUCAGGGUCUCUAAUCUUUGCUUUAUGUCUUGUUAUCGUGCAUAUUUCAUUGGCUUCUGUACAAGUUUUUGCAUCGACCUGGACUGGAAUGCUUUGAUUGCAGUGUAAUAAUCUUGUGAGUAUGAAAAGUCACGGGAUCUGCGUGUAGUGAAGAAAGUGUUUGAUGCUUGAGAAAUGAUGACUAUAAUCUCUAUCUUUGUACUUUUUUAGUGGGGUACCUGUAUACAU